rnacentral:rRNA from 1 species
AAUUUGCAGAGGAUGCUUUUGGCGCGGUGCCUUCCGAGUUCCCUGGAACGGGACGCCAUAGAGGGUGAGAGCCCCGUCUGGUCGGACACCAAGCCAGUGUAAAGCUCCUUCGACGAGUCGAGUAGUUUGGGAAUGCUGCUCUAAAUGGGAGGUAUAUGUCUUCUAAAGCUAAAUACCGGCCAGAGACCGAUAGCGCACAAGUAGAGUGAUCGAAAGAUGAAAAGCACUUUGAAAAGAGGGUUAAACAGUACGUGAAAUUGUUGAAAGGGAAGCGUUUAUGACCAGACUUGGGCCCGGUGAAUCAUCCAGCGUUCUCGCUGGUGCACUUUGCCGGGCUCAGGCCAGCAUCAGUUCGCCGCGGGGGAUAAAGGCUUCGGGAACGUGGCUCCCUCGGGAGUGUUAUAGCCCGUUGCGUAAUACCCUGUGGCGGACUGAGGUUCGCGCUCCGCAAGGAUGCUGGCGUAAUGGUCAUCAGCGACCCGUCUUGAAACACGGACCAAGGAGUCGUCUUCGUAUGCGAGUGUUCGGGUGUCAAACCCCUACGCGUAAUGAAAGUGAACGCAGGUGAGAGCUUCGGCGCAUCAUCNACCGAUCCUGAUGUUCUCGGAUGGAUUUGAGUAAGAGCAUAC